rnacentral:rRNA from 1 species
CCAACAGGGAUUGCCCCAGUAACGGCGAAGUGAAGCGGCAAGAGCUCAAAUUUGAAAGCUGGCUCCUUCGGGGUCCGCAUUGUAAUUUGUAGAGGAUGCUUCGGGAGCGGUCCCCAUCUAAGUGCCCUGGAACGGGACGUCAUAGAGGGUGAGAAUCCCGUAUGGGAUGGGGUGUCCGCGCCCGUGUGAAGCUCCUUCGACGAGUCGAGUUGUUUGGGAAUGCAGCUCUAAAUGGGUGGUAAAUUUCAUCUAAAGCUAAAUAUUGGCCGGAGACCGAUAGCGCACAAGUAGAGUGAUCGAAAGAUGAAAAGCACUUUGAAAAGAGAGUUAAAAAGCACGUGAAAUUGUUGAAAGGGAAGCGCUUGCGACCAGACUCGCUCGCGGGGUUCAGCCGGCAUUCGUGCCGGUGUACUUCCCCGCGGGCGGGCCAGCGUCGGUUUGGGCGGUCGGUCAAAGGCCCUCGGAAGGUAACGCCCCUAGGGGCGUCUUAUAGCCGAGGGUGCAAUGCGACCUGCCUAGACCGAGGAACGCGCUUCGGCUCGGACGCUGGCAUAAUGGUCGUAAACGACCCGUCUUGAAACACGGACCAAGGAGUCUAACAUCUACGCGAGUGUUCGGGUGUCAAACCCGUGCGCGAAGUGAAAGCGAACGGAGGUGGGAACCCUCACGGGUGCACCAUCGACCGAUCCUGAAGUCUUCGGAUGGAUUUGAGUAAGAGCGUAGCUGUUGGGACCCGAAAGAUGGUGAACUAUGCCUGAAUAGGGCGAAGCCAGAGGAAACUCUGGUGGAGGCUCGUAGCGGUUCUGACGUGCAAAUCGAUUCGUCGAAAUUUGGGGUAUAGGGGCGAAAGACUAAUCGAACCAUCUGGUAGCUGGUUCCC